rnacentral:rRNA from 1 species
AGUCGACGGACUCAUAUUGAAACCUAGUGAUUUAUGAGUUAGUGGCGUACGGGUGAGUAACGCGUGGAAAACCUGCCGUAUACCGGGGGAUAACACUUAGAAAUAGGUGCUAAUACCGCAUAAGCGCACAGCUUCGCAUGAAGCAGUGUGAAAAACUCCGGUGGUAUACGAUGGUUCCGCGUCUGAUUAGCUAGUUGGCGGGGUAACGGCCCACCAAGGCAGCGAUCAGUAGCCGGCCUGAGAGGGUGAACGGCCACAUUGGGACUGAGACACGGCCCAAACUCCUACGGGAGGCAGCAGUGGGGAAUAUUGCACAAUGGGGGAAACCCUGAUGCAGCGACGCCGCGUGAGUGAAGAAGUAUUUCGGUACGUAAAGCUCUAUCAGCAGGGAAGAAAAUGACGGUACCUGACUAAGAAGCCCCGGCUAACUACGUGCCAGCAGCCGCGGUAAUACGUAGGGGGCAAGCGUUAUCCGGAUUUACUGGGUGUAAAGGGAGCGUAGACGGCAGCGCAAGUCUGGAGUGAAAUGCCGGGGCUCAACCCCGGAACUGCUUUGGAAACUGUGCAGCUUGAGUGCGGGAGAGGUAAGUGGAAUUCCUAGUGUAGCGGUGAAAUGCGUAGAUAUUAGGAGGAACACCAGUGGCGAAGGCGGCUUACUGGACCGUAACUGACGUUGAGGCUCGAAAGCGUGGGGAGCAAACAGGAUUAGAUACCCUGGUAG